rnacentral:rRNA from 1 species
GACGAACGCUGGCGGCGUGCUUAACACAUGCAAGUCGAACGGUGAGGCCCAACUUUUUUCUUCUGCUCGAGUGUCGAACGGGUGAGUACCAAGUGAGUAGUCUGCCCUUGAUAUUGUGCUAACUUCAAGAAACUGGGGCUAAUACACGAAAGGUACUCCCGUUGCAUGUUGUGAUAUGGAAUGUUUUGGCCGUCGGGGAUGAACGGGCGGCUUAUCAGCUUGUUGGUGGGGUAGUGGCUUAUGAAGGCUCUGACCGGUAGCCGGACUGGGAGGGUGACCGGCCACAUUGGGACUGGGAUACGGCCCAGACUCCUACGGGAGGCAGCGGUGGGGAAGAUUGAAUAAUGAGCAGAAGCGUAAUGCAGCUACGCCGAGUGCGGGAUAACGGCCUUCGGGUUGUGAACCACAUUCGCCUUGUACGAAGCGUGAGUGACGGUAAUAGAUAAAGAAGCACCGGCUAACUACGUG